GAAAGAACAGGAUCAUGUGCUGUGUAGGUAGCAGCAGCGGCAAUCUGUUUUUUCCAAACUGUGUAGCACCUUUUGAAAAAGAAAAUUUGUUGAGUUAGUUUUACUCAAAAGUGGGCGGUCAAAACUUAAAAAUAAUAUGAUGGGCAUGAAAAAGCAAAAAGAUGAAGCGGCUAAAAACGUUUCCUCUUCCUUCAGCUGACAUAACAAAUCUGUAACCGUUCGCAUCCAUGUACUUUCCCCCCUCACAAAAAAUAUCUCAACACAUAAAAUUAAAAUCUCGUGGCUGAUCUUCUUCCUUUCCUCUCUCACAGAUUCACAAAACCCUAAUUGCUGUGUGGACUUGAGACAGUUGCAGAGAAAGUGCCAAGUAACUGUAGCAGUAGUGUUCAUAGUGUGAGCUUCUUUGGAAGUGGAAGUAGAAGAAGAAGAAGAAGAAGAUGAAGGGAUUGUUCAAGUCCAAGCCCCGCACACCCGUCGACGUCGUGCGGCAGACGCGGGAGCUUCUUCUCUUCGUCGAUCAAAGCGCCGCCGACACGCGUGAAAGCAAGCGCGAAGAGAAGAUGUCCGAGCUGUAUAAAAAUAUCAGGGAGCUAAAGUCGAUCCUGUAUGGAAAUAGUGAAUCUGAGCCAGUCUCAGAGGCCUGUGCACAGUUGACCCAGGAGUUCUUCAGGGAGAACACGUUGCGACUCCUCAUUAAAUGCCUUCCCAAAUUGAAUUUGGAGUCUAGAAAGGAUGUCACUCAAGUUGUUGCAAAUUUACAAAGGCAACAAGUUCAUUCUAAGUUGAUUGCAUCUGAUUACCUAGAGACAAAUAUGGAUCUUAUGGAUAUUUUGAUUCUUGGGUACGAAAACUCAGACAUGGCUUUACACUAUGGUGCAAUGCUGAGAGAGUGCAUAAGACACCAGAUUGUUGCAAAAUAUGUUCUGAACUCUCCUCACAUGAAGAAGUUUUUUGACUAUAUUCAACUCCCAAAUUUCGACAUUGCUGCAGAUGCUGCAGCAACUUUUAAGGAACUCUUGACAAGACAUAAAUCUACUGUAGCAGAAUUCCUUUCUAAAAAUUAUGAAUGGUUUUUUGCAGAAUAUAAUUCUAAGCUGUUGGAAUCUUCCAAUUACAUUACAAGGCGCCAAGCUGUCAAGUUGUUGGGAGAUAUGUUACUUGAUCGUUCAAAUUCAGUGGUGAUGACACGAUACGUGAGCUCAAGAGACAACUUGAGGAUUUUGAUGAAUCUUCUAAGAGUAUGGUCCUUUACCAAAAACUUGAUGAGAUGUCGUGGAGACAAGCAAGAGCAUACAGAUAGAAGCAUUUCAUGUUUUCAAGCUAUUUGCUGCUAACCAAAACAAACCAGCUGAUAUCAUCAGCAUACUUGUCGCAAACAAAAGCAAAAUUCUGAGACUAUUGGAGGACUUUAAACUUGAAAAAGAGGAUGAACAGUUCGAGGCUGACAAAGCUCAGGUUAUGAGGGAAAUUGCUGCUCUAGAACUGAAGGAACAGCGCGCGUGAGACAAGUGGCAAUUGUGUGUUGUAAUAGUUGUGUUAGUCUUCACUUCUUCAAGAUGAGAAUAUCAUUUAGUAACUACAGCUUUUUCGAUGCUUCCGUUAUGUAAUUUUACCACGUUCCUUGUAUCAUAGUAAACAAAUAAAUUGCCGAAGUGUUAGCUUCAUAUGGUUUAUGUUUUUUCCAAUGUAUUAUUAUUAGCAAACAACU